UUAUAAGAAGAGAUUAAGACACAGGAAUGACCAUGUGAAGACACAGGGAGAAGAGGGUCACCUACAAAUCAAAGAGGCCUCAAAAGAAACUAGCCCUGCUGACACUGUGAUCUUGGAUUUCUAGCCUCCAGAACUGCCUAUAACCAGUGCUCAGAUGAAGAACCAGAACACUACCAGCCCCUCGAAGUCCCCUCAGACCAACUUCCCCACCAAGGAUGCUUCCUAAGGAGAGAGAAUGCAAAAGAUCCCAGCAUUCCUCUGCAUUCUCCAAGCCCAGAUCUCUCCAGCAGCUGUCCUGGAACCAAGGCAAGGAGCUGAGAUGCCUCCACCCAGCGAUGGAAGUGGUGUGCCAUGCUGGGGUUGUGUACGCCGUGCCCUGCACCCUCCUUUUCUCCAAGAAUAACAGAAAAAAAGUCAACUGAGUUAGGCAGCAUAAAUUAGAAAUGAGAGGUUCUAAUCUAAAGGCCCUUUUUACUGGUGCAUAGAAAUAUAAUGACGAAUUAAAAAACCCUCCAAGGCAUAUUUUGCACAUGACUGCUAAGAAUUGAAAAGAACAAUAAUAAUAGCUGAUGGGAGUAUAAAUUGGCAUAAUCUUUGGGGGGUUGCUGUCAAUAAGGAUCAAACACUACAGAAAGUGUGUAUCUUUUACUCAGAAUUGCCACUUCUAGGAAUUUUCCUAAGGAAAUGAUUCAAGAUGUGUGUGAAGAUACAUGCAAGAUGUUUAAAUCGGCAUUGUUUACAAAAGCAAAAAGUUAGAACCCUAAUUUAUCCAGUAAUAAGGGAUUACUUACAUACUAACAGGUAAGUCUGAGAAACAGAGUGUAGCCACAGAACAUGAUGAAACAGAUGUUCUCAGCCCCCCUUGUGCUUCGGACCACAUGGGGGAUGUAAAGAAAUAUAAAAUAUAAAAACCUGGCCCCUGCCUGACAGAUUUGGAUUUAUUUGCUUUAGAGAGGAGCGCUGUUCCCUUUUCAUUUUUUUUCCUUUGAGGUGGGUAACUUGAUAUGAGUCAUUUUGCACCCAUGUGAGUAAAAUCGGUCUUCCUUAUUUAUGAAUUCAGCAUUUAUAAACUUGCUUACUUGCUAAAAUUUAUGUGUAACCCCCAAAUUAAUACUUGUCAUGCUUUCGUGGUCAUUGGUUGACACAUACAGAGUGUCAAAAAAUUUGAAUCGCCCAACAUGCACAUUCCCAGCUGAGGUCGAAGAAGGUGACAGUCAGCCUUCUUGUUCCAGCUCCUUUUGCAGUCUAUUUAGGGCCAUGUUUUUCACAUUUUUGUGCUUUGUGUUGAUGAUUCCACUGUUUAAAAUGGGCCCCAAGAGUAGUGCUGAAGUGCUGUCUAGGUUGUGAUGUGUCUGAAGGAGAAAGUAUGUGUUUUAAAAUAAACUUCAUCCAGGCAUAAGUGAUAGAGCUGUUGGCUGAGAGUUCGAUACUAAUGAAUCAAAAAAAAUAUAUUAAAUAAGGUGCCUUUGAACAGAAACACACAUAAAACCAAGUUAUGUAUUUGAUCGGCUGACAGAAAUAUCAACCUGCAAGAGGCUUGCAGGAACCUAACCCUGUAUUUCCCCCAGGAAUGAUGGUUCAGGACUCAUGAAUUCACGGUUCUCAGUGACAUUACGACACAUAAUUACCGUGAAUAACAAGAGUUACUUGAGAAUGCCCAUUUCCCCACCUGUUUGCUCACACUCGAAGCAACUUUUUCAUCUCUGGUCUUUGCCAGUUUUAUAGGCGAAAAUGAUAUCUCAUUGCAAAUUUAAUUCAAACUCCUUUAAUAAGGAGUGAGGUUGAACAUCUUUUCAUAAGUGUAAGAAUGACCUGUAUUUCCUUUUAUGAGAACUUUUUGACCAUUUUUCG